GGCGACCUCCUGGCCAUCACCGAUAUUGAAGUGUUGCGGGCUUUGUACCUCUUCAUACAGACAAAUGGUUUAUCUGGCAACACCUUCUGGCUUGGAGGAUCCGAUCAAGAAAGUGAAGGGACAUGGGUCUACACCACAGGGGAGCCUGUACCCAUGGGUACCCCUUUCUGGGGUCUUGCUGACAUGAGUGCUCCGUCCCAGGAACCCAACGGAGAAACCAGCGAGAACUGCCUCGCGAUCGGUAAUUUUUACAAUUUCAGGGACUAUUCAUGUGGUUCAGUGUUCUACCCACUGUGUGUCUACACGGGAUGAGCAAAUUGCAUGGGAAGCGUGCAAGAAAAAUUGUUGAAAUAGUAUUACUAAUAAUAAUUAAGAUUUAAAAGAAAAGAGUGAUAUUAACAUAAAUUGGAAUAAAAUACGAAUAUAGAUGAGAAAUAAAAGACAUUUUGUUUUUGCCUUGUAAGCAUUCUUUCAAUAUAUUAGUGGCUAAUAAAAGGUGCAAUUAUA